rnacentral:rRNA from 1 species
GACGAACGCUGGCGGCGUGCCUAACACAUGCAAGUCGAACGGAAAACAUAGCAAUAUGUUUUUAGUGGCGAACGGGUGAGUAACGCGUAGACAACCAACCUUUUUGUGGGGGACAACACUUCGAAAGGAGUGCUAAUACCGCAUACGCUCCAGAUGCCGCCUGGUGUUUGGAGGAAAGGAGCUUUACGGCUUCGCAAAAAGACGGGUCUGCGUCUGAUUAGCUAGUUGGAGGGGUAACGGCCCACCAAGGCGACGAUCAGUAGCCGGUCUGAGAGGAUGGACGGCCACACUGGGACUGAGACACGGCCCAGACUCCUACGGGAGGCAGCAGUGGGGAAUCUUCCGCAAUGGACGAAAGUCUGACGGAGCGACGCCGCGUGAGUGAUGAAGGCCCUUGGGUCGUAAAGCUCUGUCAUCAGGGACGAACGGUCACGUCAGGAAAUGGGCGUGAAUUGACGGUACCUGAGAAGGAAGCCACGGCUAACUACGUGCCAGCCGCCGCGGUA